AACUAAUUAAGUUACAUUUCAUGGAUUUUUUUGGGUUCUUUACGUGUUUUCAUCGUGGUGCUAUUGGAAACUUCUAUUUUGCUAAAUGUAAUUGCAACCCUAUGGCGCAUAUGCUAAGUGGAUUCAUCCCGUUGGUGGACUGGUCUACGGCUGUUUCUUCUAGUUUUGUUUGUUUCUUCUGUGUUCUUAAAAAAGAUAAUAAAUAAAUAAUUAAUUAAUUA
rnacentral:misc_RNA from 1 species